UAUUAACUCUGGCGGCGUGCCUAAUACAUGCAAGUCGAGCGAACAGAUAAGGAGCUUGCUCCUUUGACGUUAGCGGCGGACGGGUGAGUAACACGUGGAUAACCUACCUAUAAGACUGGGAUAACUUCGGGAAACCGGAGCUAAUACCGGAUAACAUAUUGAACCGCAUGGUUCAAUAGUGAAAGGCGGCUUUGCUGUCACUUAUAGAUGGAUCCGCGCCGUAUUAGCUAGUUGGUAAGGUAACGGCUUACCAAGGCAACGAUACGUAGCCGACCUGAGAGGGUGAUCGGCCACACUGGAACUGAGACACGGUCCAGACUCCUACGGGAGGCAGCAGUAGGGAAUCUUCCGCAAUGGGCGAAAGCCUGACGGAGCAACGCCGCGUGAGUGAUGAAGGUCUUCGGAUCGUAAAACUCUGUUAUCAGGGAAGAACAAAUGUGUAAGUAACUGUGCACAUCUUGACGGUACCUGAUCAGAAAGCCACGGCUAACUACGUG
rnacentral:rRNA from 1 species